rnacentral:rRNA from 1 species
GAUGAACGCUGGCGGCGUGCCUAAUACAUGCAAGUCGAGCGAACGGACGAUAAGCUUGCUUCUCUGAUGUUAGCGGCGGACGGGUGAGUAACACGUGGAUAACCUACCUAUAAUACUGGUAUAACUUCGGGAAACCGUAUCUAAUACCGUAGAAUCUUUUGAACCGCAUUGUUCAAAAGUGAAAUACGGUCUUGCUGUCACUUAUAGAUGGAUCCGCGCUGCAUUAGCUAGUUGGUAAGGUAACGGCUUACCAAGGCAACGAUGCAUAGCCGACGUGAGAGAGUGAUAGGCCACACUGGAACUGAGACGCGGACAAGAGUACUAAGGGAGGCAGCAGUAGGGAACGUUACGCAAUAGGCGAAAGCAUGACGGAGUAACGCCGAGUGAGUGACGAAGGCGUUCGGAUCGUAAAACUCUGUUAUUAGGGAAGAACCUAUGUGUAAGUAACUGUGCACAUCUUGACGGUAAUUAAUCAGAAAGCAACGGCUAACUACGUG